ACGCACGCUGGCGGCGUGCUUAACACAUGCAAGUCGAACGGAAAGGCCCUGCUUGCAGGGUACUCGAGUGGCGAACGGGUGAGUAACACGUGGGUGAUCUGCCCUGCACUUCGGGAUAAGCUUGGGAAACUGGGUCUAAUACCGGAUAGGAGCCAUCUUUAGUGUGGUGGUUGGAAAGUUUUUUCGGUGUAGGAUGAGCUCGCGGCCUAUCAGCUUGUUGGUGGGGUAAUGGCCUACCAAGGCGGCGACGGGUAGCCGGCCUGAGAGGGUGUACGGCCACAUUGGGACUGAGAUACGGCCCAGACUCCUACGGGAGGCAGCAGUGGGGAAUAUUGCACAAUGGGCGCAAGCCUGAUGCAGCGACGCCGCGUGGGGGAUGAAGGCCUUCGGGUUGUAAACUCCUUUCGCUAGGGACGAAGCUUUUUUGUGACGGUACCUAGAGAAGAAGCACCGGCUAACUACGUG
rnacentral:rRNA from 1 species